GCGGGAAUAGCUCAGUGGUAGAGCACCACCUUGCCAAGGUGGGGGUCGCGGGUUCAAACCCCGUUUCCCGCUCCA
rnacentral:tRNA from 2 species